rfam:Schistosoma curassoni strain Dakar, Senegal genome assembly, scaffold: SCTD_scaffold0006558
AUUCAGCCGACGAGCCCCAAACAGGACGAAACGCGCUUCCUGGAU